UGAAUUCGGUAUGAUAUCUUGAAUUCCAACAUUAACAUUGUAAACCGCAUGUUAAAGCCCAAAUCCAUAUGCAAAUCCCAUGCAUGGGAUGGAAGCACGAAUUUUCCUAUUUUCUUCAAUUCUAACAUUAACAUUGUGAACCGUUCCUAUGUUGAUUUCUUGAAAAUUCAUGAACUUUCAGACAAAACGAACAAAGCAAGCUGUAGAUGUCAUCUAACAAACAGGCCCUUUAUAUUCGAGUGAUUUGACUAGAAAAAGAAGAGAAGAAACCAUCGAUUCUCAUUAAAUCACUCACUGGAAUACUCAUUUCGAUUAGAAAUGGGGAUAAAACUAUAUAAAAGUCCAAACUUUUUUAUUCGUUCUUCCCCUUUCUUACUACAAAAAAACGUCACCAUUAAGUGAGAAAAAAAGCUUCUUUUCUUUUCCCUGCCAAUAGUUCAUUAAUUGUUCAUUUUUUAAAAACAUAAUCAGAACUCUAUGCAACGCUAAUAUCCCUGCCAAUAGUUCAUUAAUUUCCUGUUUUUUCGGGCCCCAGAUAGUGACCCCGUGAGAAGAGAAAGAUAAGAAACCCGUCCAUUUACCUAGUAAAGGGUUCAUAGGUUCAAUUUCUUGUUUCAAUCAAGACUCUGAAAAAUCUGGUGCAGCUUGUGUCUUCCACAGAUUGCUGUUGUUCUUGUCGUGGCACAAGUUUCUUUUCAGGUCAACGUUUUUCUCAAGGGAACUUCCACUCCAAGUAUCCCUCCAUGUGGGAUGCAUGUGCCUUCUAUUCUCCCAAAAUCCAAAUUGGAUCCUACGUUGAGUUUCCAUCAUCUCAUCCAAAGGGUCUCAGUCCCAUCAAAGUUUCAUUUGUCUUAUCAACGGGAACUCAACGUGUUAUCGCGAUAUGUCUUGAGUCGAAACAAACUAAAAGAAUGCUGAACCAAGAGAGUUUCAUAAGGCAAAGGCUGACAAACGCCAAGGAGCAACAGAUGAAACAAGAGUUGGAGAAUGACCCGAGGAGAUGACUCAUUUAAUACACCGGUGCUUGAACGGCGGAGGGUAAAGGGUUUUGAGUAUUUGAGCAUAGUUGAUCUGAAUGAAAUGCGUCGCUUUUUGAACCAAAAGAUAAGCAACAUUGGAAAAAGGAUUGGGUCUCUUAGUCGAAGGCAUGCUAUAGAUGAAUAAAAUAGGGAAGCGAGAGCGCGGUCCAAAACACAGUUUUCGUUUAUUAAUGGCAGUAGUUCUCUGUUAUGGUUAUCAUUUUCCAAUCUUUGUACCACAGAGUUGAUGUCGUAGGAUUACAGUCAUAAUUUUGUGGCAUUUACUUGAUCCUCAAUGCUACGAUGCAUCCCCCGUUACUA